rnacentral:other from 1 species
GAAUUCCUUACAGCAAUUGAUACAUUUUCCCUCCCAAAGAAAAAAACCGAAUUCUG